GUGUUGUAUGAAAGGAGAGGAGGUUAGUAUGCCCCUUGGCAAGGAUGGAUGAGGCCCUCGGGCCUUACAACAUGAAUGCGGUUAAGGCCUUGCCACCUACUUUGCAGCAUCUAACCAUGAUUUUUA
ensembl:snRNA